rnacentral:rRNA from 1 species
UACGGAGGGUGCAAGCGUUGUUCGGAAUCAUUGGGCGUAAAGGGCGCGUAGGCGGACCUGCAAGUCGAUUGUGAAAGCCCUGGGCUUAACCCGGGAAUUGCAGUCGAAACUGCUGGUCUUGAAUGCUCGAGAGGAUGGUGGAAUUCCUGGUGUAGAAGUGAAAUUCGUAGAUAUCAGGAGGAACACCGGAGGCGAAGGCGGCCAUCUGGCGAGACAUUGACGCUGAGGCGCGAAAGCGUGGGGAUCAAACAG